CCCUAGCUCACCCAAUCGCCUCGCAGUCUCGCACUCAGCUCCUCCCCGGCCAAUCCUCUCUCGUCGCAUAUGGAGGUGCUGCUCCGCCUCCCUGUCUGCCCACCAUUCUCCUUUCUCCCAAGCCUCAUCUUCAAGCCCCAUCCCCCGAGCCGCUCUACCUCCCUGGACGGCCGCCGGCCAGCAGGAGCAGCGCACCGCUAGGGCAAGCAGGAGGGGCUGCUGGAGCUCUUCCCUUGAUGGUGAUGGCGGACUCGACCUCGCGCCGGCGGCCUCCACAGGAGCAGCGCGGAGGAAACACUAGCCGUCGACUCCCCGCGCGUGAUCCUCCUCAAUCGCCUGCUUCGCUCCUUCCCCAACCCCCGUCGUCCACGCGCCGCCUCCAUGGUGGGACUCCUCCAUAUUCGCCCCCAUGGCUUCCUCCUCCUCCAAUCUGUCGUGCCACCAGCCCCCGAUUCGGUUCCUCUCCGUCGGCACCAGCAGAUAGUGGGAUGGAGGAGCAGGUUGGUGUCCUCGUCCCUUGCUUCACCAGGCUGCAGGGGCGUUCAAGACGCCGCCGUCGUCCUCGACCUUGGCGAGCCAACCUCCACCUUGCGCCGUCGCCAUCGCCGGUAGCAGCGGUGGGUGGCUGCUUCUUCGUGUCUUUACUCUGUAUCUCCCUCACGUGCUCUGCCAAGGCUGUAGUUACACACUCUCUCUCAUAACGGCUUGGGAAGGGCAAAGGUGGAGGUCUUCAGGCAAUAGGGUGGCUGCCCAGGAUUCCUUCUCCUCCAUGGUGUUAGUGACAAGAUCCCAAGGCCCUGGGCAACUUCUUCAUCUUCAAUUCUUCAUGCCAUUUUUUUCUGCAGUCCAGUUCAGGUCCUACAUGGUGAUGCUUUGUAUGGGGUCAUAGAAUUUCAGAAUUGCAGACAAACAACUAUUGAUUAGAGAUUCAUGCGUACAAGCAAGGUAUGAAACAACAAGUUCUGCUAGGAUCUCAGCUUCCACAUGCUGGUCAACUCCAAAUUCUUCAAGUGUUACGCCCUUCAGUAAAACUGAGAUGGAAGAGAUUAUAUCUAAAGUGAGAAGUCUAAAAAUGAAUCUGAUGUUGGGCAAGCUUUAUAGGAUAUCUAGAAAUAACUGUACAACUGCCAUAUGUAUAAAGAAGUGUUUGAGGUACAACAUUGCAAAGGUUUUGUUUCUACGAUCAUGAAUGAAUUAUAUAACUGUACAUUCUGUCUGAAUUAUAAUAUAAAACUUUUAUAGGGUGUCAGUAUAUGGGUUAAUCAUUUUUAGGUCUGACCAUCAUUUUAAAGUGGCACUAUUUAUUUAUAUUAUAUAGUGUUUUGCAUGAGAGUAUAAACUAGGAUAUUACUUGCACAUACAUUUGAAAAUAUUGCUUGAAAAUAUCAGGUCUGAGGCGUGUAUGCUAUUUAAGAAGUGUUUUCCUACCUUGGAAACUUGUAGCUGUAGUUUCUCCUGAGCCAUGAUAUGAUACUUUAUCAAUAUUACGUAUUUGGUUCUUGAAAAAUUAGGAGAGUAUAUAAAUAAGAGUGCUCAAAUCUUGCUAGCAAGUGCUUGUUAUGAUUGAUGUGAGGAUUGUUUCUUUGGGGGUAACUAACUCAAAACCUCAGAUUGUUUUAUCUACUUAAAAAAUAAUUGGUAAGGCAUUCUACGAGGCACUAUUUGCCAUGUGGUGUGGAGUGUUAUUGUCUGAUUUUUUUGGCUUGUUAUAGUCUAGAGCGUUUCUCAAAUAAUUUUGGAAUGGAUUUUGUGCAGAUUUGCAGCGAAGUAACUCCCAAAACUUCUUUGCAGCAAACUAACUCAAAAACUCAUUUUUUUUCUCUUCGUAGAUAAUAAUUCUCAGAUACUUUCUACUUAUAACCUCAAUCAUAUAUAUUUUUAAGUCAUUGUUCUCUAGGCCAUCAUAUUUUCCUAAAGAUGGUAUUUCAGUUUCAAGAAAAUCAUUGUUGCCUGUCAUAUAAGGAUCAAUUACUUCAUUCAGUUAUUGAACAUUUGUAAUGGACUAUGAUUUUGCAAAUUAUGUUUAUAUUUUGAAUAUGUAGAUUGGUAUUCAAGUCCCUCAGGGACCCCUUUGCUAAUGAAGCAUCACUACCUUGUUGGCUAUACAUGACCGUGCAUGUGCUAUUCCUUUAUGCAAAGCAAUCAGCUCAUUCUUGGCUUAUUCUGAGUGCAGCUGUCUGUUCUUUUGCAGCUGAUGAAGAAUUUUAUUGGAUCUCAAUUUUCAUGAAAGCUUCACUGAUUCCAUAGAUGGAAGUCAUGUAUCUUCCAGCUUUGUAAUGCUAUUUUUUUAGUGUGGGUUUCUCUUGACUGCUCUUAGUUGAGUGCUAAUUGCUAAGCCAUUAUCUCAAGCUGAGUAUGAUUACCUCUUGCUAAUUAAUGUCAUUAUUAGUUAAUUUCUAAUUGUUUUCCAGCUCACAAGAUGAUAUUUUUUCUAAAAUCCGUGAGUUGUUUCCUUUAUCUUGCAGCUUUUGAAUAGAAACUGCAAACUUAACUGAACUAACAUAUAAACAGGAUUCAGAGGAGUAAGGUUAGUGCCUCUUGCGGUGGUUUGUUUGAUUUGUGCUAGCUUUGUUCACCAGAUUCAGUAGUGUAUUAGUUAUGUUAGUAUUUUUUUGCAAUAUAGAUGUUGACGUUGCAUCUUCAGAUAUGUUUUCCACCCCUUUUUUUUGCAAUAGAGUGACUACAAACUAGAUGUGACAUGUCUUACCGAUCAGUAUUCACACUAUAUUUGUGACUGCAUCUUCAGUUUUUUGUCGCUAAAUUGGAUUUUUUACCAUCUUUACCAGCAAGGGGCCCUGCAUUCUCUUCUACUCUCGCUGUGCUGGUUUCGAUGCACCGGUGCAGGACCUUGACAGUGCCCGCUCAACCUAAAGGUUCAUCCUCCACCUCUCUCUCUCUCUCUCCCUCUCUCUCUCAAUACUCCAAUCAAUGUUUUUGGGAAAGGUAGGACGAGCCGCUAUUGGUUUGGACAUGCUUUCCCCUGCUUGAUGUGGUUUUUCGCUGCAAAAGGAGGUCACCACGUGUUGAUACGUUAGAGUGUGUGAUAUAUUUUGCUUUGGAUGUUUUCUUUUCUCCAGCUUCAUAAUGUUUAUGCUUGAUGUUUGAUAAAUUGUCCACAUGGGCUUACACGUUUUCUCGGGUUGUGGUGCAUGAUGUACGUGAGAGUGAGAGUUUGCUCUUACCUGAGUCUUGAGAGUUUGUUAUUAAACUGUCCACAAAGCCAGGCCGAGCUUGCUCUUACUCGAGUUGUCGGGCCUGCUGUGCAAAGGACAAAGUUGGCUCCUGAUGGUGCUAUUUGUUCAUAUAUAGACCAUUCUUUCUACUCUAAGGUUUGGAACUUAGUUUUGCUCCAUUGCGAGGCGACUGAC